CCUACGGGAGGCAGCAGUGGGGAAUAUUGGUCAAUGGACGAGAGUCUGAACCAGCCAAGUAGCGUGAAGGAUGAAUGCCCUCUGGGUUGUAAGCUUCUUUUAUAAAGGAAUAAAACGAGGCACGUGUGCCUUUUUGCAUGUACUUUAUGAAUAAGGAUCGGCCCGCUCCGUGCCAGCAGCCGCGGUACUACGGAGGAUCCGCGCGUUGUCCGGAUUUAUUGGGUGUAAAGGGAGCGUAGAUGGGUUGUUAAGUCAGUUGUGAAAGUUUGGGGCUCAACCGUAAGAUUGCAAUUGAUACUGGCAGUCUUGAGUACAGGUGAGGUAGGCAGAAUUCCUGGUGUAGCGGUGAAAUGCGUAGAUAUCAGGAAGAACCCCGAUUGCGAAGGCAGCUUACUAAACUGUGACUGACAUUGAGGCUCGAAAGUGUGGGUAGCAAACAGGAUUAGAUACCCUAGUAGUC
rnacentral:rRNA from 1 species